GAAAAGGCCUCCCCUCGCAUACAUUUCUGAUGCCAUGACAUACCAGUUGCUAAAGGCCCAAAACACCAGGGUAGUAUCCAUAAACAGAAACCUCUGAAAAUGUACCAGCAGUGAAGAUGUUGAGGAAAAACAGAACAUCAGUUGCAAAGAAACGGCAACAUGAUUUAGCAAGAAAAGCACCAAGCGAGACCCAAGCUCAGCAGCUGGAGUCACCAGGGAGGACGGUGAUACAUGAAGCAUUCAGGCCUUGGUGUUCUCGACACAUCUUCCAAAAGACGCUGAGCUUCCUCCACGUUUCCCAAGACAGUCUUCACUUCGCUGCUCCACCCUCCCGAUUUCCAUCGUUCUGGCAGACUUCCGUUGUUCUUGGACUAUUGCGAA